UAGGUUUAUUAUGGGUGCUAGCUACAGAACUCACCACUGUUUUACAUCAAAAUGUGGGCCGCUAAUGUGGCUUUCAUAAAGAACUACACAUCUUGUCGCAAGGUUUGACGUCAUCCCUCAAGGCACAUUUCUACACGCAAACUCCUCGACAAAUAGCCUUGCAAGUAACAUAGAUAUUAUAGGCGUUUUUAGUUUCUCGUGUGUAUUCUCGUUCAGCCUUUUUGAAAUGGCAUAGCUUGCUACCUUAGCGUCUUUAAAUUACUAUAAUGUAUUAAGUUACCCUCUGCCUUUGUAGAUAACUAGCUAACCUUAGGUCUCUCCGUCGAUCAGAAGCAAGGAUGGUUCUGUGCUAUGUAACGUUACCGGAUUGUAACCACUACUCCAAUAAGCACAUGUACAUGUUAUCGUUUUCCAACCUCAGUAAGUGAGAGGCAUCACAAGAGCUGUGUGAUAAGAUGGACGGACCGGAAACCCAGUGACAACACUCGGGGUCUGUAGCUUCCAUUUUCCAGUGGGAAAGAGAAAUUGCUCUGUUUACCAGAACAGGUAGUUCAUCCACCAUGGCAGAAGUGGAAGAUCCAGACUGUGGAUUGGGAAACAAGAGCAAACAAAUAGGAUUGAGUUCCAACAGGAGUGUACCACUCGGGCUAUCCGGUGCAUGGACGUCCUGUGACAGUGUCAUCCGGUUGUGGAGACUACAGCAGAUCGAGCCUGUGGACAGACAGACAGGAGGCGUGACAUGCGGAACAUCAGGCUCACACCACGAGAAGCACCAGCCUCAGCAAGGAGAUAUGCUGGAAGUGAUGUACUCUCUCACUCUGAGGAUACUGACAGGAGGAGCAAUAUGAGUCAGAGGUCGUCAUGGUGAUUGGGAUAGUGAUGGAGGCUUUGGUGGUCCACACAACAAAGAAUCAGAUGUCCCUUCCAGUGACGUGGAGCUGACCUGGAGCCGUUAAGGUUUGUCUUCAUUGAGGCUGAUAUAGAAAUUCUAUGACUUGCACCAUAGGGACACUUGCCCUCCACUACUGGGGUGGCAGGUAGCCUAGUGGUUAGAGAGUUGGGCCAGUAACCGAAAGGUUGCUGGAUCGAAUCCCCGAGCUGACAAGGUACAAAUCUGUCGUUCUGUCCCUGAACAAGGCCACCCACUGUUCCACGGUAGGCCAUCAUUGUAGAUAAGAAUUUGUUCUUCACUGACUUGCCUAGUUAAUUGAAGGUAAAAAUGAAAAUGCUGCACCAGACCAUUCGGUUGGGCACCCAGGAUCCCAGACCCUGUAACCCAAAGCCCUGACUCCUGCACAUCCAUUCCUGUGGCCAUUUGCCUUGAUGCCUCACCGGAUGGUCUGGUGCCCUCCUCCACAUUACAGACAACACCCCAUCCAAUGACUGAUCUGAGCACCCUUUUUUCUUAGCAGCGACGGAGUAACAUGCCUGGUCCUUACCGCUGCUCCAUCAUUGCUGUCCAUCAACCACCCUCUCCUCAUGGUGUGCCAGUUGGGUUUGGUGCGCUGUCCAACUGUUGCCUGCCAUAUAGGCAACAGUUGGGGAAAUAUGGGGCAAAUUGGGGGCAAAAAAACUGAACGCAGAUUUUUCUAAAUCUGUGGACUGAAGGGAUCUCUAGUGUUAUCCAUUCCUGUGAACGGGUUUGGUAACUUCUGGUUCUUAUCUUAAUUAAUGAAGUUACAGAUGGAGGGAGUUUCUGUAAGAUUGCUUUGUAAAUAAAUAAAAGAGAAUGUAGCUCUCCUAUAGAAAAGAGGUCCAUCCCACAUUAUACAGGCUACAAUGAGUCCUAAAAUUGUCCCAUGUAAUAAAACGUAUUGCGGAAUGGUAGACUGCGUCCAAGGGUUUUAAAACAGGUUGCCGCAUGUAAACAAUAUCACCAACAUCCAAUACAGGGAGAAGCGUUGCUUGAACAAUCUUCUAUUUUUAAUACUAAGGCAUGAUUUAUUCGAUAUUAAAAAAAACUCUCAUAGAUAUCAUCCUAACCAACUUGCCCUCUAAAUAC